UGAGGAAUAUUGGUCAAUGGGCGAGAGCCUGAACCAGCCAAGUAGCGUGCAGGAUGACGGCCCUAUGGGUUGUAAACUGCUUUUGUAUGGGGAUAAAGUCAAUCACGUGUGAUUGUUUGCAGGUACCAUACGAAUAAGGACCGGCUAAUUCCGUGCCAGCAGCCGCGGUAAUACGGAAGGUCCGGGCGUUAUCCGGAUUUAUUGGGUUUAAAGGGAGCGUAGGCUGGAGAUUAAGUGUGUUGUGAAAUGUAGACGCUCAACGUCUGACUUGCAGCGCAUACUGGUUUCCUUGAGUACGCACAACGUUGGCGGAAUUCGUCGUGUAGCGGUGAAAUGCUUAGAUAUGACGAAGAACUCCGAUUGCGAAGGCAGCUGACGGGAGCGCAACUGACGCUGAAGCUCGAAGGUGCGGGUAUCGAACAGGAUUAGAUACCCUGGUAGUCCGCACAGUAAACGAUGGAUGCCCGCUGUUGGUACCUGGUAUCAGCGGCUAAGCGAAAGCAUUAAGCAUCCCACCUGGGGAGUACGCCGGCCGGGA
rnacentral:rRNA from 1 species